rnacentral:tRNA from 1 species
GGAGUUGUAGCUCAGUGGUAGAGCGCUUGCCUAGCAUGUGUGAGGCACUGGAUUUGAUCCUCAGCUCCA